rnacentral:rRNA from 1 species
GUGUCAGCCGCCGCGGUAAUACAGAGGUCCCAAGCGUUACUGAGAAUCACUGGGUUUAAAGGGUGCGUAGGUGGUCCGUUAAGUCAGUUGUGAAAUCCCCGGGCUCAACCCGGGAACUGCUUCUGAUACUGGCGGACUUGAGGCCAGUAGAGGUCACUGGAACUGACGGUGGAGCGGUGAAAUGCGUAGAUAUCGUCAGGAACGCCGGUGGUGAAGACGGGUGACUGGGCUGGUUCUGACACUGAGGCACGAAAGCGUGGGGAGCGAACGGGAUUAGAAACCCCGGUAGUCC